rnacentral:rRNA from 1 species
GGUUAACCGAAUAGGGGAGCCGGAGGGAAACCGAGUCUUAAUUGGGCGUUAAGUUGCAGGGUAUAGACCCGAAACCCGGUGAUCUAGCCAUGGGCAGGUUGAAGGUUGGGUAACACUAACUGGAGGACCGAACCGACUAAUGUUGAAAAAUUAGCGGAUGACCUGUGGCUGGGGGUGAAAGGCCAAUCAAACCGGGAGAUAGCUGGUUCUCCCCGAAAGCUAUUUAGGUAGCGCCUCGUGAAUUCAUCUCCGGGGGUAGAGCACUGUUUCGGCUAGGGGGCCAUCCCGGCUUACCAACCCGAUGCAAACUGCGAAUACCGGAGAAUGUUAUCACGGGAGACACACGGCGGGUGCUAACGUCCGUCGUGAAGAGGGAAACAACCCAGACCGCCAGCUAAGGUCCCAAAGUCAUGGUUAAGUGGGAAACGAUGUGGGAAGGCCCAGACAGCCAGGAUGUUGGCUUAGAAGCAGCCAUCAUUUAAAGAAAGCGUAAUAGCUCACUGGUCGAGUCGGCCUGCGCGGAAGAUGUAACGGGGCUAAACCAUGCACCGAAGCUGCGGCAGCGACACUCAGGUGUUGUUGGGUAGGGGAGCGUUCUGUAAGCCUGCGAAGGUGGCCUGUGAGGGUUGCUGGAGGUAUCAGAAGUGCGAAUGCUGACAUAAGUAACGAUAAAGCGGGUGAAAAGCCCGCUCGCCGGAAGACCAAGGGUUCCUGUCCAACGUUAAUCGGGGCAGGGUGAGUCGACCCCUAAGGCGAGGCCGAAAGGCGUAGUCGAUGGGAAACGGGUUAAUAUUCCCGUACUUGGUGUUACUGCGAAGGGGGGACGGAGAAGGCUAUGUUGGCCGGGCGACGGUUGUCCCGGUUUAAGCGUGUAGGUGUGUGUUCCAGGUAAAUCCGGUU